CUCCACUUUUUCUUCUCCUCCCCCUCUGCACGCACGCACGCACGCACGCACGCACGCUGUGUCAUCAACCCAAGUUAGAAAGAAAAAUGUUACGGCAGAUAAUAAGAGGAAAGGAGCAGCGUAAACGACUCCGAAAGAAGACCCAAAGCUGGAGGGAGUUGUACUUCUAAAGCCCACCAGUCGAAUCUUUCGUGGAAUAUCCCAGAAGAUGAAGCUAAGCAAGAGGGAGAAGAUGGAGAAGGAUUCGAAAGCAGAAGAUGCCUGAAGAGGGUACGCAUUAAAAACUCAAAAGAACAUGAACUGCAAUAAAAUGGUGUGCAUGUGGUUCUCCUGCUUUAGUUUUUGAUCUUGAGCUGCUUCUUAUUCACUCAUGCUGCUCGCUUGUGACUGCAGGCUCACGUCUUUUCUGGACUCAAAUGAGAGAGACAGAGAGCAAGCGAGAGAGAUGCAGAACUACCAGAGAACAUGAAAUGUGCGAUCAUUUGGGAGCGUAAG